GCCCCGAUAGCUCAGAAGGAUAGAGCACAGGAUUCCUAAUCCUGGUGCCGCAGGUUCGAUUCCUGCUCGGGGCA
rfam:Desulfurella amilsii strain TR1 opera_scaffold_1, whole genome shotgun sequence.